GAGACAGCAGUCGCCGCGGAAUACAGAGGGUGCGAGCGUUAAUCGGAUUUACUGGGCGUAAAGCGUGCGUAGGCGGCUUUUUAAGUCGGAUGUGAAAUCCCUGGGCUUAACUUAGGAAUUGCAUUCGAUACUGGGAAGCUAGAGUAUGGGAGAGGAUGGUAGAAUUCCAGGUGUAGCGGUGAAAUGCGUAGAGAUCUGGAGGAAUACCGAUGGCGAAGGCAGCCAUCUGGCCUAAUACUGACGCUGAGGUACGAAAGCAUGGGGAGCAAACAGGAUUAGAUACCCCUGUAGUCCCUGUCUCUUAUACA
rnacentral:rRNA from 1 species